AAGAGUCUCAGACGAGGAUAUCUUAUGAGCCGAUUGUCUGAGCCUCCUAUUAAAAAGCCUCUCCAACACCCCAUUGAAUCACACAUUUCCUGACCCUGAUUUCUGAGUCUGCUGCUAUGAUUAGCGUUCCCAGUGGAAGAACUUCAGAUGGAGACAGGCUGCAGUUGGCAAACAAGGCUCUCUGGUUUUCAGUGCUCCUAAGAGCCAGCUGAUCCCUGUUGGAUGCAGAAAUAGAAAUUUCAAUAUAUUUCUAAUUGUAACUGGUUAUGAGUAUGUGGGCUGAGAAUCAGAAGUGCUCUUCAUAGCGCUUGGAAACCAUAAUGAUGAGGAAAAUAAUGACUCUGGGGCUGGGAUAUUUUUAUUUUUGUCCUUGAAACAAAUGUUGCAUUUACAAGUUUCCCUUCACAAACAGCUUUUUAACAUGUUUCUUGUGUCUUUGUUUUAAACUAAGUGAGACCAUAUGUUCUCAAAAGCAGACUGGGCAUAAAUAAUGAACAACAAAUAUCUCAGAAUGCAUGUUUAACCAGUGCUCCCAUUGAAUUAUUUCUUAUUAUUUUUGAUAUAAACAAUUUUUAUCUUUAAGUCCUUGUUGUUUUUCUCUCCUCUCCUGCACUAUAAUCUCUGAUGGUGAGGCUGUGACACCAGCUGCAAAUCAUUCGCUCAUCAUGGAGGACCAGUGGGGCUUCAAGCCAAUCGCAGGGUUGUCCUAUUUUAAUCUUGUUCCUCUCUUGCAAAGAUUUCAGAGUAUUUACAUGCUGUCUCCUUGUGUUUCAGAGCAACUCAUCUGGAACUCACCUCAAGUUCUACUAUUGCUCUGUAAGAGUUCACCUACCUGCUACCGACUUAGCUCUUCAUCCUAAACCUCUAAUCCAGCUGGAGUUUAGCCACCAUCAGUUCAGUGUUUGUGCUAGUCCUGUGACUCACUGGUGACAUGUUCCUGGUGUACCUCAACCCCCCAGUGGUUGGUGGCUGAGGUAGAUUCAAACUACUUUCAUUUUCCCAGUUGCACGAAGCCAUUCUGAACAUGAUGCAAACGAUUGUCUACUGUCGCCCCCUGCUGGCUCCGGAGGAGGGAAUACUGCAAGUCAGUUAUUCAGAACAAUAUGCUUGAUUUCCUUUGACAGAAAAUAUUCAAAGUAAGCAAUAAGCUUAGUUUGAGUAUUGGAUUAAACUUAAUGCACUGACUGAUAAC